GCGCGCCAGGCCUCCGGGGCGCCCAGUGCGCAGGCGCCGGCGGCGGGCUCCGAGCGUGUGCCGGGCUGGAGCGCGGUGGGGCGCGUGGCGGCGGCGGCGGCGGCGGCGGGGGAGCGGUGGGGCGGAAGGACCCCCGGACGACAGGGCGCGGUGCUGCCUGGGCUCCCCGGUGUGGGUGUGGCCCCUCCCCAGGUCCCCAGGUGCCUCCGCGAGCAGUCUCAGGCCGGCCCCCAGCGUGCGGGGCCUCCCGGUCGACCAGUGCGCAGGCGCCGGCGGGGGGCUCCCAGCGUGCACUGCGCUCGAGCGCGGUCCCCCGGACUGACGGCCAGCCCUGCAGAUGGACGGGCUGUGUGCCCUGUCGCCCUGCGCCUGCUGAACUCCGAGCACCCGAGGAUGUCUGCGCUGAGGAAGGUCUGUAUGAGCUGUUGGCUGUUGUGCCAGGCCGGCUGGGGCCCACGUGUGGACAGCCAGGAAGACCUGACCUUCCUCUGGGAUAUGUUUGGUGAGAAAAGCCUGCAUUCACCGGUAAAGGUAAAACCAUGCUGAUGUCAGAUUCUCUUGGUGGGAAAACAUAUGGAAAAAUAUUUUGUCAUCUCAUGCUUUGUUCUGUCCUCCCCUAUUCUCUAUGCAGAAGUUACUCGUCGAGCACCAUUUUCCUUUAGGUUAGUGAUUUCUGAAUUGUAUUCAUGAAACAUUUCCUUAAUG
rnacentral:lncRNA from 1 species